rnacentral:rRNA from 1 species
UACGAAGGGAGCUAGCGUUGUUCGGAAUAACUGGGCGUAAAGGGUGCGUAGGUGGAUGUGUGCGUUAGAUGUGAAAUCCCCGGGCUUAACCUGGGAACUGCAUUUAAUACGGCACAUCUAGAGUGCGAGAGGGGAAAGCGGAAUGGCGAGUGGAGCAGUGAAAUGCAUUGAGAUUCGCUAGAACACCAGAGGCGAAGGCGCUUUCUGGCUCGCUACUGACAACUAAGGCACGAAAGCGUGGGGAGCAAACAGG